UACGUAGGGCGCAAGCGUUGUCCGGAAUUAUUGGGCGUAAAGAGCUCGUAGGCGGUUUGUCGCGUCUGUCGUGAAAGCUUGGGGCUUAACCCCAAGUCUGCGGUGGAUACGGGCAGACUAGAGGCAGGUAGGGGAGAACGGAAUUCCCGGUGUAGCGGUGAAAUGCGCAGAUAUCAGGAGGAACACCGGUGGCGAAGGCGGUGGUCUGGGCCGGAACUGACGCUGAAUAGCGAAAGCGUGGGUAGCGAACAGG
rnacentral:rRNA from 1 species